rnacentral:lncRNA from 1 species
GCUGAAGAACGCGCGCUUGGUGAGCACCAAGGACGACGUGCACCUGUGCGUCAUGUGCCUGCGCGCCAUCAUGAACUACCAGGUAGGGGACGGCGCCGUGUCACCGUCACCACACCGGGUACGGGGACGUCACGGUGCCAUUGUCACCGCACCGGGUACGGGGAGGUCACUGCGUCACCGUGGCUGCACUGGGCAUGGGGAUAGCGCUGGGCCACUGUCACCAUAGUGGGGUACAGGGAUGUCACUGUGCCACUGUCACCAUACCAGGUGCAGGGGUGGCACUGUGUCACCAGCGCUGUGUUGGGUAUGGGGACAUCAUGGUGCCAGGUGUGGGGACAUCACGGUGGCACUGUCACCACGCUGGGUCCAGGGCCAUGACUGUGUCACCGUCACUGCGUUGGGUAUGGGGACAGCGCUGGGUCACUGUCACCAUGUGGGGUACAGGGAUGGCACUGUGUCAUUGUCACUGUACCGGGUAUGGGGACAUCACGGUGGCACUGUCACCAUGCUGGGUUCAGGGCCAUGACUGUGUCACCGUCACUGUGUUGGGCAUGGGGACAGUGCUGUGUCACCGUCACCAUACCGGGUGCAGGGGUGGCACUGUGUCACUGUGCCGGGUGUGGGGACAUCGCAGUGUCACCGUCACCAUAGCGGGUGCAGGGAUGUCACUGUGUCACCAGCGCUGUGUUGGGUAUGGGGACAUCGCUGUGUCACUGUCACCAUAUGGGGUACAGGGAUGUCACUGUGACAGUGUCACCGUACGGGGAUGGCACUGUGUCACUGUGCCAGGUCUGGGGACAGCGCUGUCACCGUCACCGCUCCGGGUGUCACUGUGCCACCGCCGCUAUAUUGGGCGCAGGGAGGGGUGGCACCGUGCCACCGUCCCCUGUGCUGGGUAUGGGGACAUCGUGGUGUCAGUGUCACCGUACCAGGUGCAGGGGUGUCACUGUGUCACCGCGCCGGGUACGGGGACAGCGCUGCGUCACUGUCACCGUGCUUUGGGUCCAGGGACAUGGCAGUGUCACCAGCGCUGUGCUGGGUAUGGGGACGUCACGGGGUCAGUGUCACCAUAGCAGGGACAGGGAGGUCACCGUGCCACUGUCAC